GAUGAACGCUGGCGGCGUGCCUAAUACAUGCAAGUCGAGCGAACAGACGAGGAGCUUGCUCCUCUGACGUUAGCGGCGGACGGGUGAGUAACACGUGGAUAACCUACCUAUAAGACUGGGAUAACUUCGGGAAACCGGAUCUAAUACCGGAUAAUAUAUUGAACCGCAUGGUUCAAUAGUGAAAGACGGUUUUGCUGUCACUUAUAGAUGGAUCCGCGCCGCAUUAGCUAGUUGGUAAGGUAACGGCUUACCAAGGCAACGAUGCGUAGCCGACCUGAGAGGGUGAACGGCCACACUGGAACUGAGACACGGUCCAGACUCCUACGGGAGGCAGCAGUAGGGAAUCUUACGCAAUGGGCGAAAGCCUGACGGAGCAACGCCGCGUGAGUGAUGAAGGUCUUCGGAUCGUAAAACUCUGUUAUUAGGGAAGAACAAAUGUGUAAGUAACUAUGCACGUCUUGACGGUAACUAAUCAGAAAGCCACGGCUAACUACGUG
rnacentral:rRNA from 1 species